rnacentral:rRNA from 1 species
UACGGGGGGGGCAAGCGUUGUUCGGAAUUACUGGGCGUAAAGGGCUCGUAGGCGGCCAACUAAGUCCGACGUGAAAUCCCAAGGCUUAACCUUGGAACUGCGUCGGAUACUGGAUGGCUUGAAUUCGGGAGAGGGAUGCAGAAUUCCAGGUGUAGCGGUGAAAUGCGUAGAUAUCUGGAGGAACACCGGUGGCGAAGGCGGCAUCCUGGACCAACACUGACGCUGAGGAGCGAAAGCCAGGGGAGCAAACGGG